GACGAACGCUGGCGGCGUGCUUAACACAUGCCAGUCGAACGGAAAGGCCCUGCUUUUGUGGGGUGCUCGAGUGGCGAACGGGUGAGUAACACGUGAGUAACCUGCCCUUGACUUUGGGAUAACUUCAGGAAACUGGGGCUAAUACCGGAUAGGAGCUCCUGCUGCAUGGUGGGGGUUGGAAAGUUUCGGCGGUUGGGGAUGGACUCGCGGCUUAUCAGCUUGUUGGUGGGGUAGUGGCUUACCAAGGCUUUGACGGGUAGCCGGCCUGAGAGGGUGACCGGCCACAGUGGGACUGGGAGACGGCCCAGACUCCUACGGGAGGCAGCAGUGGGGAAUAUUGCACAAUGGGCGGAAGCCUGAUGCAGCAACGCCGCGUGCGGGAUGACGGCCUUCGGGUUGUAAACCGCUUUCGCCUGUGACGAAGCGUGAGUGACGGUAAUGGGUAAAGAAGCACCGGCUAACUACGUG
rnacentral:rRNA from 1 species